GUGCUCGCUUCCGCAGCACAUACACUAAAAUCGGAACAAUACUGAGAUUAGCCUGGCCCCAGCACAAGGAUGACACACAAAUUCGUGAAGUGUUCCAUAUUACA
rnacentral:snRNA from 1 species